rnacentral:rRNA from 1 species
CCCGCUGAACUUAAGCAUAUCAAUAAGCGGAGGAAAAGAAACUAACAAGGAUUCCCCUAGUAACUGCGAGUGAAGCGGGAAAAGCUCAAAUUUAAAAUCUGGCGGUCUCUGGCCGUCCGAGUUGUAAUCUAGAGAAGUGUUACCCGCGUCGGACCGUGUACAAGUCCCCUGGAAUGGGGCGUCAUAGAGGGUGAGAAUCCCGUCUUUGACACGGACUACCCGAGGCUUGUGGUGCGCUCUCAAAGAGUCGAGUUGUUUGGGAAUGCAGCUCAAAAUGGGUGGUAAAUUCCAUCUAAAGCUAAAAUUGGCGAGAGACCGAUAGCGACAGAGUACCGUGAGGGAAGAAUGAAAGACUUGGGGAAAGAGAGUAAAACAGUACGUGAAAUGNCUGAAAGGGAACGCUUUGAAGUCAGUCGCGUCGUCNGGAUCAGCCCCUUCCUUCUGGUUGGUGUACUUCCUGGUCGACGGGCCAGCAUCAGUUUUGACCGGUGGAAAAGGUUCGAGGGAAGGUGGCACCUCCGGGUGUGUUAUAGCCCUCGUUCGUAUACAUCGGUUGGGACUGAGGAACUCAGCACGCCGCAAGGCCGGGAUUCGUCCACGUUCGUGCUUAGGAUGCUGGCAUAAUGGCUUUAAUCGACCCGUCUUGAAACACGG